GGAAUAUUGCACAAUGGGGGAAACCCUGAUGCAGCGACGCCGCGUGAGUGAAGAAGUAUCUCGGUACGUAAAGCUCUAUCAGCAGGGAAGAAAAUGACGGUACCUGACCAAGAAGCCCCGGCUAACUACGUGCCAGCAGCCGCGGUAAUACGUAGGGGGCAAGCGUUAUCCGGAUUUACUGGGUGUAAAGGGAGCGUAGACGGCAGCACAAGUCUGGAGUGAAAUCCCGGGGCUUAACCCCGGAACUGCUUUGGAAACUGUGCGGCUGGAGUGCAGGAGGGGUAAGCGGAAUUCCUAGUGUAGCGGUGAAAUGCGUAGAUAUUAGGAGGAACACCGGUGGCGAAGGCGGCUUACUGGACUGUAACUGACGUUGAGGCUCGAAAGCGUGGGGAGCAAACA
rnacentral:rRNA from 1 species